CCCUUUGCUUCCACAGCACUGGCAGGUUGGGUGUGUUGACCUUGAACAGUGGAGCCAGCCCUUCCUCUGGUAGUUGGAGAGGAAAUAAGAUAAGAGCAAGGAGAGAGCUGGGCAUGAGGAACUACCAGACCUGGGCCCUGGAGGCCCAGUGGGGCUGGAGGACUGUUCCCCUGACCAGGGGGGCAGCCGAGCCCAUCAGCCCACCCAGGAAAACCCAGCCUGCCCAUUUACUUGCUCAGUGAUGCUCUCAUUCAGCAGAUGGUCAUUGAGCAACCUCUCAGGGGAGGAAACUGAGGCCCAAGCCACGCACAUAACACGGACAAGCGGAGCUGCAGCAGUUUAGCGCUCGGCCCGUUCUCUUUCCCACGCCUCUGCUAAGUUAAUCAAAGAGGAAGUGAGACCCACAGCAGGAAGCAGGGAGGACCUGCCCUACAAUCCACCAACCCCCUUACUCAGGAGGUCCUGGCGAUGCCCACGUGCAGCAGAGAGGCAAUGUGAGAGGACCUUGUCCUUCCAGCCUGGAGAGGCCCCGUCCUCCUGUGGCACCCUCCUGUCCCUGACCCUCAUGAGCAGAGAGAGAGAGCGCGCACGGCAGGCAGAGGGAGAAGCGGGGCCAGAUGUGAGACUCGACCUGGGAUCAUGACCUGAGCUGAAG